UGCUUCGGUAGCUUAGUGGUUAGAGCGUCCACCUCGGAUGCGGGAGGUCGUGGGUUCAAUCUCUGGCCAAGUUA